rnacentral:rRNA from 1 species
UAGCUAGUUGGUGAGGUAAAGGCUUACCAAGGCGACGAUCUGUAGCGGGUCUGAGAGGAUGAUCCGCCACACUGGAACUGAGACACGGUCCAGACUCCUACGGGAGGCAGCAGUGGGGAAUUUUGGACAAUGGGGGCAACCCUGAUCCAGCCAUGCCGCGUGAGUGAAGAAGGCCUUCGGGUUGUAAAGCUCUUUCGGCCGGGAAGAAAUCGCAUGGGCCAAUACCCUGUGUGGAUGACGGUACCGGAAUAAGAAGCACCGGCUAACUACGUGCCAGCAGCCGCGGUAAUACGUAGGGUGCGAGCGUUAAUCGGAAUUACUGGGCGUAAAGCGUGCGCAGGCGGUUUUGUAAGACAGGCGUGAAAUCCCCGGGCUUAACCUGGGAACUGCGUUUGUGACUGCAAGGCUAGAGUACGGCAGAGGGGGGUGGAAUUCCACGUGUAGCAGUGAAAUGCGUAGAGAUGUGGAGGAACACCAAUGGCGAAGGCAGCCCCCUGGGUCGAUACUGACGCUCAUGCACGAAAGCGUGGGUAGCAAACAGGAUUAGAUACCCUGGUAGUCCACGCCCUAAACUAUGUCAACUAGGUGUUGGGUGGGUAAAACCAUUUAGUACCGUAGCUAACGCGUGAAGUUGACCGCCUGGGGAGUACGGCCGCAAGGUUAAAACUCAAAGGAAUUGACGGGGACCCGCACAAGCGGUGGAUGAUGUGGAUUAAUUCGACGCAACGCGAAAAACCUUACCUACCCUUGACAUGCCAGGAACUUGCCAGAGAUGGCUUGGUGCCCGAAAGGGAGCCUGGACACAGGUGCUGCAUGGCUGUCGUCAGCUCGUGUCGUGAGAUGUUGGGUUAAGUCCCGCAACGAGCGCAACCCUUGUCGUUAAUUGCCAUCAUUUAGUUGGGCACUUUAACGAGACUGCCGGUGACAAACCGGAGGAAGGUGGGGAUGACGUCAAGUCCUCAUGGCCCUUAUGGGUAGGGCUUCACACGUCAUACAAUGGUCGGUACAAAGGGUUGCCAAGCCGCGAGGCGGAGCCAAUCCCAGAAAGCCGAUCGUAGUCCGGAUUGCAGGCUGCAACUCGCCUGCAUGAAGUCGGAAUCGCUAGUAAUCGUAGAUCAGCAUGUCACGGUGAAUACGUUCCCGGGUCUUGUACACACCGCCCGUCACACCAUGGGAGCGGGUUCCGCCAGAAGUAGGUAGCCUAACCGCAAGGGGGGCGCUUACCACGGCGGGGUUCGUGACUGGGGUGAAGUCGUAACAAGGUAGCCGUAGGGGAACCUGCGGCUG